ensembl:misc_RNA Metazoa_SRP Metazoan signal recognition particle RNA
GCUGGGCGUAUUGGCACACGCCUGUAAUCCCAGCUACUCAGGAGGCUGAGGCAGGAGAAUCGCUUGAACCCAGGAGGCAGAGGUUGCAGUGAGCUGAGAUCAUGCCACUGCACUCCAGCCUGGGUGACAGAGAGAGAUUCUGUCUCAA